UGGGAGUGCAGCACCAGGGGAAAGCUCAGCUAGCGGAGCAGCAGACUGUAGACUUCCCUUCAGCUCCGAAGCCUCAAUCUACAGCGGCACUAGACAUAGGACUUUGAGGCUCCACCAAAGGAUUCUGCGCACAGAGAGCUUGGAUUGAGAGGACAUUUCUUAAAAGAGAAUGUGUUCACAUAUUUCCCAGCAAGGACCCAACCAGAUGUGCCUGUGG